AGAAUCAACGCUGGCGGCGUGCCUAACACAUGCAAGUCGAACGAGAAAGUGGAGCAAUCCAUGAGUAAAGUGGCGCACGGGUGAGUAACACGUGACUAACCUACCCUUGAGUGGGGAAUAACUUCGGGAAACCGAGGCUAAUACCGCAUAACACCUACGGGUCAAAGGAGCAAUUCGCUUAAGGAGGGGUCGCGGCAGAUUAGCUAGUUGGCGGGGUAAUGGCCCACCAAGGCAGUGAUCAGUA
rnacentral:rRNA from 1 species